rnacentral:rRNA from 1 species
UACGUAGGGCGCAAGCGUUGUCCGGAAUUUUUGGGCGUAAAAGGCUCGUAGGCGGCUUGUCACGUCGGUUGUGAAAGCCCGGGGCUUAACCCCGGGUCUGCAGUCGAUACGGGCAGGCUAGAGUGUGGUAGGGGAGAUCGGAAUUCCUGGUGUAGCGGUGAAAUGCGCAGAUAUCAGGAGGAACACCGGUGGCGAAGGCGGAUCUCUGGGCCUUACCUGACGCUGAGGAGCGAAAGCAUGGGGAGCGAACAGG